CAGCCGCCGCGGUAAUACGGAGGGUGCAAGCGUUAAUCGGAAUUACUGGGCGUAAAGCGCACGCAGGCGGUCUGACAAGUCAGAUGUGAAAUCCCCGGGCUUAACCUGGGAACUGCAUUUGAAACUGUCAGGCUGGAGUCUUGUAGAGGGGGGUGGAAUUCCAGGUGUAGCGGUGAAAUGCGUAGAGAUCUGGAGGAAUACCGGUGGCGAAGGCGGCCCCCUGGACAAAGACUGACGCUCAGGUGCGAAAGCGUGGGGAGCAAACAGGAUUAGAUACCCCUGUAGCCCUGUCUCUUAUACA
rnacentral:rRNA from 1 species